rnacentral:rRNA from 1 species
ACGUAGGGGGCUAGCGUUGUCCGGAUUUAUUGGGCGUAAAGAGCGUGUAGGCGGCCAGGUAGGUCUGGUGUGAAAACUCGAGGCUUAGCCUCGAGAUGUCAUCGGAAACCAUUUGGCUAGAGUCCGGAAGAGGAAAGUGGAAUUCCUGGUGUAGCGGUGAAAUGCGCAGAUAUCAGGAGGAACAUCGAUGGCGAAGGCAAUCACCUGGGCCUGAACUGACACUGUGACACGAAAGCGUGGGUAGCAAACAGGA